GAACAAGCAGGAGCUCCAUGAGCUCAAGAAACCCUAAGCAUGAAGAAUCAUCAAAUUGAAGGGUGAAUCGAGGUCUAAAUUCAUGAAUAAACACGGAUUAAUGAUCACUUACACGAGGGGAUCAUAAGGGAUCAUGUCAAGAUGGAUGGAAGCAUGGAAGGCUAACGGGUCAAAAGGAGGCGAGGAAACGGAUGCGAAUACAGACACUUAAGGUUGUACGAAUCACAGAUUAUCAUCACGAGGAGUAGCGAUCAAGGACCGUGUCACAAGAUAGAUUGUACGGGAAUGCUUGAGUAUGUAAUUUGAUAAACAUAAGUUAUGCUUUUAUUUUAUUAAAUGAGUACGAAGAUGCA